UACGUAGGGGGCAAGCGUUGUCCGGAAUCAUUGGGCGUAAAGAGCGUGUAGGCGGCCUGGUAAGUCCGUUGUGAAAGUCAAAGGCUCAACCUUUGAAAGCCGAUGGAUACUGUGAGGCUAGAGUCCGGAAGAGGCGAGUGGAAUUCCUGGUGUAGCGGUGGAAUGCGCAGAUAUCAGGAGGAACACCAAUAGCGAAGGCAGCUCGCUGGGACGGUACUGACGCUAAGGCGCGAAAGCGUGGGGAGCGAACAGG
rnacentral:rRNA from 1 species